GCUGUGAUCGUAUAGUGGUUAGUACUUCACGUUGUGGCCGUGACAACCCCAGGUUAGAAUCCUGGUCACAGCA
rfam:Ciona savignyi cont_33831, whole genome shotgun sequence.